GUACCUUUAAAAGACCAGAUGAAUCAAACUGGAUUUGUUCUGAUGAUUAAUGAAGGAAACCAAUAUGAACCUAGAGUAUAUGAGAGUGAUAAAAAAAAAAUUGGUGAAGAUGAAAAAAUUUCCAGCUUUGUUCAGAAGUCCUCAGAAGUAAUGCUUAAAAUUAUUAAUGAAAACUUAACUUCUGAUAUCUUCAAAGAUGACUGGUUAGAACUUAGUGAAGAAGAAUUUCAGCCACCAAAAUUUUCUACUGAUCAUAUAAAAAUUUUUCAAUCUUUUACUUCUCUUAAAUAUAGUAUAAAGAAAAUGAUAAGUCAUAUUAGCUGGUAUCCCAUAAUUGAUGGCAUUAUUGUUGCUUCCUGUAUUAAAUCAUACAGUUUUUAUGAAAGAAUAGACAAAUUUGCUUAUUUCACUCUUCAACCCAGUUUGAUUCUGUUUUGGAGUUUCAUUGAUCCUAUAAAUCCAAAACUCUUGUUAGAAGCACCUGAUGAUGUUUUGAUCUUUCAAUUUAAUCCUACCAAUCCCAAUUUGGUAGCUGGAGGAUGUAUUAAUGGCCAACUUAUUUUAUGGGAUCUCACAUCGUAUCAAAAAGAAUUAAAAAAACUGACUGAGCCUCAGCAUCAGAUUAAAUCUCAAAUAUGUUCAAUAUAUGAAAAAGAAAUUCAAGAAGUGCCAAUUAUCAAGCAUGUUGCAUCAUCUGGCAUAGAUCAAGGACAUCUAUCAGACAUUUUAUAUCUAGAAUGGUUCCCAAAUAAUGUAGAGGUGAAGGAAAAUGGAAAUGUUUCUUGGAGCAAAUUAAAAUUUUCUGUGCAACUAAUGACUUCAGGUUCUGAUGGUUUCAUCAAGAUAUGGGAUAUUCGACCAGAGAAGAAAACUCACCAAGAUGAAUUGUUUUCUGUAGUUAAGGCUCACAUUAGCAUUUAUACUUCACUUGAUUUAACAUGGAGUCCAAUACAUUCAGUAAAACUUGCACCACCUGCUGAUAGUGCACAAAACAAUGUAUCUGUAUUUUCUUUUGAAAUUAAAGAAAAUUCAAAUGAUGAGAUAAGAAAAUCUGCUCCUCCUGCAUCAAAUUUUAUUGGUGGCAAUGUGAAUGGCGAUAUCUUUUAUGGUGACUGGAAAAUACCAUGUGAUGCCACUGGACAGCUAACUGAAUGUAUUUCACCAAUUUAUUUUGAAUGUAAAAUAGGAGGAUUUGUAAAUACAAUUCAACAUUCUCCUUUCAUACAAGAUGUAUAUUUAGUAGUAGGAGGAUGGAAAAUGGCAAUAUGGAAGUCAGAUAUACCAUAUGGUCCUUUGCUUGAAUCAUCAUGUGGGACUUGUGAAAGAACAGCCGGUCAUUGGUCACUAACCCGACCAGGAAUUAUAUUUAUUGGUCAAAGCAAUGGAAACAUAGAAGUAUGGGAUAUUUUACACCAAACUCACGAACCCAUUUUAAUUCAAAAUGUUUCUGCUAAUUUCAUAACUAAAAUUAAACCAAAAAUUAUGAAAGAUAAAUCUCAUGUGUUAGCUAUCAGUGAUGCAAAUGGAACUUUAUAUAUCAUGGACCUACCUUUAUCACUUUGGUCACCUGUACAAAAUGAGAUUUCAUUAGUAAAGACAUACUUUGAAAAAGAAAGUAUGAGAUUGAGAGAGAGACAAAAAAUGAAUCUAGAAAAAGCAGAAAUUCUCAGAAAAGAAAAAGAAUCAGAAGUUAUUACUAAAGCAUUAAUAGAGCAAGAUAAGAUUCCAGCUGAAAAAGAAAAGAUGCAAACAGAUGAAGAAACUCUCCUUGUUCAACAAUAUGAUGAAUAUUGUAAGCUUGAAACACAAUCUUUAAUGAUUUUAGGCGAAUCUUCUGUUUUUCCCACAGCCUCCUCUACACAUUUGUAAAUAAAUUGCAUUAAUAUUGCUUACAACUUAUGAUUCUUCAUUGGUAAUAUUUUUUGUAAUAUACAUAAUUGUUUAGAUUAUUUAUAAUAAUUCUGUAAUAAGAUUAAUAGUUUUAUUCAAUAAAUUAGUUUCUUGUUAUUGAGGAUCACCUUUCUUCAGUGUUUGAUAGUAGUCAGAAGAUUCUAUUGACCUGCAUUAUAAAUGUUCACCUGGUGCACUCAUACAGACCAAAACUUGCAUUAGUUAAAAAACAAAAUUUUACCAUAGAAAGUCAACUUAUGUGCUAACAGAAUGUUAAUUUAGAAAAAACUUUGAAUAAACUUAUCUUAUGUUGCUUAAUUCCACAAGUAAUGCAUGAUCAGACACUACUACCAAAAUUCAUUAGGACAGUGUAGGUUACAUUUUAAAAAUGAGUUCACUGAACAUCAUACAAUAUGAAAUUAGACUAGGUGGACCAAGUAAGUGUAGCAAUGUGACAGAUAUUCCUGGGAAAUCUAGAUGUACUAUACCUUCCUGAAAAAUGCUAUUUACAGGCCUGCCAUGAAAAGGUUGAGGUAUUUCCUAAACUUACUGCAGUAAU
rnacentral:misc_RNA from 1 species